AUGAUACCUCAACCACCAUAUCUUGGGUGGAGAUUUGGUACUUUUGAAGAUGCCAAAGAGUACUACCAGAGAUCUGCGGUGUUCCAUGGAUUUUCGGUGAACACAGAAUACCAUAGGCAGAUUAAAAAAACUAACGAGUACAUCAGAGGUGAGAUAAGGUGCUACAAGGCACGAAAGAACAAGAAAGGAAAAGGUGUUGUACCUGUCGUGCCGGAACGAAAGAGAGGCAUCAUUCUCAAGACGGGAUGCCCUGUUCGGUUGAAGCUAAACGCAAAUGGAGCAUGGUGGGUGGUCACUGAAUAUUUCGAAGAACACAACCACGACCUCGUAAAGAAGUUUGACCUAGUAAAAUUUCUGAGCGCCCACAGAGGAUUCAGACCCAUCGAGAAGAAAUUCAUAAGGUUGCUACAUGAUUGUAACGUCGGUCCAUCAAGAAUGGUCCAAAUAUUGUCCCUAAUCCACAACGGAGAUGGGAGUCUGAGUAGCAUGCCCUACAUACCAGCAGACAUCAAAAACCUAAAGGCAAAGUACCGUAGAGAGAGGAGGUUGGCUGACAUAGAAGACACAAUAGCCUACUUCAAAGAGAAAGCAAAAGCAGAUAAUGAUUUCUUCUACAGGAUAAGAUUGGACGAUGAGGACCGUGUCAGUAACAUGUAUUGGGUGGAUGGUGCUACAAGAAGAGCCUACAAACAUUUACGUGAUUACAUUUCAUUCGACGCGACAUAUCUCACGAAUAUGUACAAGAUGCCCUGUGCUCCAUUCAUAGGAAUAAAUAACCAUAAUCAGUCCUUGCAGUUCGGUUGCGGUCUCAUUCGGAACGAAGAUAUCAAUGGUUACACUUGGCUGUUCAAAACCUUCUUGGAGUGCAUGGAUGGACUUGCUCCAAUGAACAUAAUAACGGACCAGGAUUUUAGCAUGCGCACAUGCAUAGAGGAGGUCUUUCCGUUGGCAGUGCACAUGCACUCCAGGUGGCAUAUUAUUAAGAAGGCUGAAGAGACGCUAGGACCAUUCUUCGCUGACCGUCCAAAGCUACACAAGGCAUUCGAGUUGUGUGUGGACCACAGCUUGAUGGUGAAGGAGUUUGAACGGAGCUGGACGGCUAUGAUUGAAACAUACCAAGUCCAAGACAACAAGACACCAAAUAGCUUGUGGGACAAGCGAAUGUACUGGGUGUCGACCUACUUCAUGCAGUGUUCUUUCCAUUUCUGCAGACUACACAACGCAGCGAAGGGUUCAAUGCUGUUUUGA
rnacentral:rRNA from 1 species